GCUCAGGGUGGAUGUCCCCUGUGGGGAGGGGACCAUUUCCUUCUCAGGAGUUGGGCAGCCCUGGAGAGGGUCCACGUCAGUUUGGUGAACCCCCCACCAGGCUCAGCCCUAAGGAUAGAGGAGCUGAUGGCCUCUCACGAAACAGGACAUGGCUCAGCAGACAGUUCGAGCCAGCCCAUGCAUGCAGGGCAUCCAGGCACGCCAAGGACACGCAGACACGACAGACAGGGCGCACGCGCAGGCUGGGGUGAACACCGUGGCCUCUGCAGAGGGCUGACUGGAGGGCAAUUUCCCUGCGGAAGACAGCACCACCUCCUCCCGGGAAAGCCACAGCCUCCCCUGCCACAGCUGAUGCACAAAUAGGACUCGAGAGACAAGAAGUGGAAAUGGAACGAGAUGAGCACAGACGGGGGCGGCACUGGCCCUGGCCUCAUGGAGCCUCUCCCCCUGCACUGCUGGGCUCGGGAGGCCACCCAGGGGGACAGUGCAGGGCAGCAGGUGGGGACAUCAGGCAGCUCCACGAAGGACAGCACAGAUGGUGCGUGGACACGGGGGCUCGAGCACAGGACUGUACUCCAGGGAAAGCAGGCUCGGCGCUGGAGCUGUUACCUGGAGAGGGGUCACCUCGAGCCUGGUGGGCCAGCAGCAGGCACUCCAUCCAGCGGGCCCCAGAAGACCCACGUGGGCAGGAGCAUCACCCCAUGUUUUCCGAGGACCCUGUGUUUUCUAAAAUCUGAAACAUCGACUGUGAGUUUCGGAAAGGAUGCGAUGCAGAGUAGACAGACCGGCAGGUCCAUGCAGCCUUCACCCUCCAGAACGCGGUCUGCACGUCUUGCAGCUUCACGGCUGGCCACAUCUGGGCUGUAGCAUCCGGGACAAAGGCCACUGUGACUCCACCUGCAGCAUCAGGGUCUGCCCAUUCUCUGUGCCUCUGGUCUGCACAGCUUCAACUUGCAGUCCAGCUCUCACUGAAAGACGUGAAUCGCCAGCCAGGAGCAUGCAGAAGCGCAGGCCUACAAAGGGCCCCAAGGGACUUCCGAGAGGACCUCUGUACUCUGACCGCGUGUUCUUUUCUCCAACCCCAACAUGGUGGGGCCAUUCAGAGCACUGUGAGUUUUGAGCAGAUGGGGGCUUGGGACCCCAAAUGUGGUCGAGCCAGUCUGAUGAGGUGGGAGGUGGCAAGGCCUAUACCCUGCACACAGACAUGAGGCAAGGCUCGAGACUGCAGCCAAACCCAGAAGAGGGGCUGGGCAGCCAUGGCCUCCUGGAACAGUCUGAGAGCAGGUGCCUGUGAGUGAUCCCCAGAUCUCGCUGUGUGAAGAAGUUAAGGCCCAACACUGAGGUGGCAAAAAGACCAGAUCUGGAGCCUAAAGUAACUGCAAGGUCUUCCUGUGCGUGUGCCUGCCAGGCACGUCUGUCCCCUCUGGAGGACACGUUUCCUUCUGAACACACCAUUCAGCAGAUGAGCAACCAACUUCCAAGGGAUAGGACCAGCACGUGGCAUGUCCAGCAAAGGAAUGUCACCAAGAAGCGUCCAAGAGUGGGAGGACCCAGAGGGAAAACAUGCCCUGAGUCAGGCCAGUCUGGAGGGCCGGGCAAGCUGGCCUUGGGACACAGGAAGACGGUGACUCUGAUGCACAGAACAGUGUCCUGUCCCAGCACCGAUCAGGGCUCUGGGGCCAGAUGUGACAGAAGGUAGGUUGGGGAUGCUGCCAGGGCAGAAGCAGGCCAGGCAAUCCUUGUGCCAACUCAGAGCCAAGAAGACAGGGAACUCUACCUCAGGCCUGUGGGCAGCGGUCCACGGGGGACAGUGAGAAGAAACCUGGCUGAGCUGGACUCCCUUGCAGCCACUCUGGCUUGUCUUCCAGUCUCACGGGACUCAAGGACACUGCAGGCUUUAGGACACUGUUUUCUGAUCAGCCACUUGAAUGAGAAGCAGGGUGACUGAGAAAGCUCAUCACAGAUUCAUCCGGAGCUUUCAGGGGACGCUGGGGCAGGUCAGGCCGCUGCCCAUUUUCUCCACCGAACCCAACAGAGGCCUUCUAGAACCUUCACUCCUCCUGGCCUCCAGCUGAGGACAGCAUGGCCCCAGCCAGCUCAGAGGGACCCAGGUUCAGCACAUGGGGACUCUGAGGAGAGGCUGGGACGCCCGCUCUCAACAAGCACUUUGUGUGCAGAUAGCUGGAGGUCCACAAGCUGGCCUGCCCAGGGUCAGCCAAGGGCAUUUAUAUUCCAUCCUCCAACUUCAGGAGCAUUUUCCCACAGAACUUCCUGCCAUUCAUGCUACAGCUCCCACAUGAAGGCAGGCACAGAGAAGCAAGGGUCCAGGAUCUGCUUGAGUAGCUGAACUGCCUGCACGGACAUGGUGACCACGGUCCUCUGUCAGGGAAGCAGGUCCUGACUUCCCAGGCUGCCCUUGAGAUAGGAAGUGUCAGGGAGGGCCCUAUGUGGGGGAGUAGAAGGGCGGUCCUGGGCAGCUGAGAUGGUGUCUUGGGACCAUGGGAGGCGUGAAGGGACUCAGAAAAGGAAAGAUCAGAAGGUAACAGGGCCCGAUCCACCACCCCUGGGACCCUAACCCUGAGCCCAGCCCUCUCCCCCCAGCUACGAUACCCACCAGGCUGGGCUCAGACCACCACACCCAGAGGACCACUCACACCGGUGCUACGGGGUCAGGGGAGCGGCCUGGCCCCCGCUGCCUGCCAGGGUCACCCUUGGAUGGUAGCCGGAGCAGCAGGGACAGAAGAAGAUAAGCAGAGGCCAGGCCAGCCCCACACCCAGCAGCAAGGGCAGUGAUGGGGCAGACAGGCAGAGCCACACCUCCAGGCUGAAGGAAGGAGACCCACAAGCCCAAGGAAGGAAGCACCGGAGGCAAGAAGGCCCAGAGCCACUGCAGAAGCAGGCGGGCACAAGAAAACCAGGGCAACUUACUAACUAGUCAGGGCGGCUC